rnacentral:rRNA from 1 species
AUUCCAGCUCCGCAGGUGUAUAUCUAUGCUGCUGCGGUUAAAAAGCUCGUAGUUGGAUCUGCGUGCUCGGAACUGGUUGGCUCACUGAGUUCAAACUGGUCUCCGGCGCUUUAUUGGCUGGUUUUCCCUUGAUGCUCUUAACCGGGUGUCUUGGGUGGCUAGCACGUUUACUUUGUAAAAAUUAGAGUGCUCAAUACAGGCGUAAAGCCUUGAAUAGUGGUGCAUGGAAUAAUAGAAUAGGACCUCGGCUCUAUUUUUUUGGUUUUCGGAACGCGAGGUAAUGAUUAAGAGGGACAGACGGGGGCAUUCGUAUUGCGACGUUAGAGGUGAAAUUCUUGGAUCGUCGCAAGACGGACGACUGCGAAAGCAUUUGCCAAGAAUGUUUUCAUUAAUCAAGAACGAAAGUUAGAGGUUCGAAGGCGAUCAGAUACCGCCCUAGUUCUAACCGUAAACGAUGCCAACUAGCGAUUCGCAGGCGUUAAACAACGACCUUGCGGGCAGCUUCCCGGAAACGAAAGUGUUCGGGUUCCGGGGGAAGUAUGGUUGCAAAGCUGAAACUUAAAGGAAUUGACGGAAGGGCACCACCAGGAGUGGAGCCUGCGGCUUAAUUUGACCCAACACGGGAAAACUCACCCGGCCCGGACACCGUAAGGAUUGACAGAUUGAGAGCUCUUUCUUGAUUCGGUGGGUGGUGGUGCAUGGCCGUUCUUAGUUGGUGGAGCGAUUUGUCUGGUUUAUUCCGAUAACGAACGAGACUCUGGCCUACUAAAUAGUGGGCGGAUUCUUUCUGUCCGCAACACUUCUUAGAGGGACAAGCGGUGUUCAGCCGCACGAGAUUGAGCAAUAACAGGUCUGUGAUGCCCUUAGAUGUCCGGGGCUGCACGCGCGCUACACUGAAGGAAUCAGCGUGCUUUCUGACCUUGCCCGAAAGGGCUGGGUAACCCGAUGAAAAUCCUUCGUGAUUGGGAUAGGGACUUGCAAUUAUUUCCCUUGAACGAGGAAUUCCCAGUAAGUGUGGGUCAUAAGCUCGCGUUGAUUACGUCCCUGCCCUUUGUACACACCGCCCGUCGCUGCCCGGAACUGAGCCGUUUCGAGAAGAACAGGGACCGUCGUUGAAGGGCCUUAACGGGCUUUUCUCUGAUAGAAACUGUU